GAUCAUAUAAUUUAUGUAAAUUUAAUAAUUAAGACUAAUUUAAUAGUUACCAAAUUAUUAAAAUCAGUUAUAUCUUAUUUAUCAGUGUUAGGUAUAAUGUACAGGACUAUUUUUAGUUUACUUAAACAUGUUCUUCCUAAUCAUUUUACAGGUUCAUUAACUGAACAAGCGAAUAUUACUUCUACCAAGUAUGUAAGAGGAUGUAAAAUGUGUAUUUGUUAAACCAAGUUUAGUCAUUAUUAUGGGAAACUAUUUCAAAUGUAAAUGUGUUUUGUAUUCUAUCAGCUUAAGAUAAUUUGUUAGAUCUUAAGGUAACAGAAAACUCUGGCUGAUGUCUAAUUCAAUUAUUUCUAAGGAAAUGGUGAAGCAUCAGCAUAGGAUCUUGGGUUUAUACACACAUAUGCUUCCUAUUUGUACACGUACAUAUGCGUGUAUUAUGCCUCCAUGCAGUUAUGUGUGCUCACAUGCAUGUGGAUGCAUAUGUGAAGGUCAGAGGUUGAUAUUGGAUGUCUCCUUUAGUGUCUCUCCCUUUUAUUUACGGAAGUAGGGUCUCCUGCUGAACUUGCAGCUCAUAGGUACAGUGAGUCUAAUUAGCCAGCUUGCCCUGUGGCUCCCCGUCACCACCUCCAAAGCAUAGGGAAUACAGGCAAGGCGACAAGCCUACUUGGCUUUUAUAUUGGUGCUGGAGAUCCAAACUCUGGUCCUCAUGCUUAGGCAAUAUGCAUUUUAUCCACUGACCAUCUCCCUAGUUCUGCUUUUAUUUUCAGAAGUUACAGAAAGCUAUAUUUGAGUAUGUUAAAGGAUGUGUUCCUUUAGGCACUAAGAGAGGGAUAUGUGUGGAUACAGAAAGUUGUAGAGGGUUUACAAAAAGAAUUUUAUUUGUUUAGGUCAAAGCUGGCUCAAUUCUGGUGUGUGACUGAUAAAAUUUCUGACAAGAACUUUACAUUCAAGCAUACUGAUGAAAAACUAGCUUUGUUAUUUCUGUGUUUGGAGUCUUAGUCUGUUCUUACUACUUGGGAAUGGCUUGCUUUACCUUCGGGAAAAUCUUCCUAGGUAACAAAUAUUCUGCCUCCUUCCAGAAUUAUCUUCCACAGUCUCCUACUUUCUACUUCCACUGGCCUCACAUAUGGUAAGCAAGGCCUCUCCUUUGGGGUAUGUUCUCGUAUUCCUUGAUUCCUUAAGAAAGCAAAGUCUUCUUGCUCAGGAAGGAGCGAAGGGUCUUUUCGGUCACGUUGCUUCUCUGCUUCUAUGGGAAAUAUCUGUUACUUGGGUAGAACAGAGAAGUCAAGCAUUAUUCUUUUAAGAGAGGACUCAGCCUGUCUUUUUUUUCCCCCCGGAGCUGGGGACCGAACCCAGGGCCUUGCACUUGCUAGGCAAGCGCUCUACCACUGAGCUAAAUCCCUAACACCACAUUAUUCUUUUAAUAGCCCAUCAUCCCAUCUUAACCAAGUUUCAGAGGACCCAUGGGGGAAAAAUCAUAAAGGAGGCACCUAUGACUGUCAGGUUUGUGUGGUGUCACUAUUGCUGUGUGACAGACGUAGAACUGUCAAGUCAGAAGUGAUGAUUGGCCUCUCGUAGGUUAUAGCAGUAAAAUGUUACCAAUAUAAAUAGUUCAGAAACUGUAUGCUGCAUGAGCUUGUCCAUGUCUCUACCAGCCAUGAUAUAUUUCUAUUUCCCAGGGGUCAGCUUACUGCUUUGUCAAACUUUAGACAACUAGAGGACUAUGUCCAUUACUCAUCAUGAGGACUACAUGCUAAGACCCCUGUGGAUUCCUAAAACUCUGUUAAGUCAAAAACACUUCUUUUCUCUGUAUGCAUAUAUAUUUUAAAUGACAUGCCUACCACAAUCACCACAUGUGCAGGCCAGAAGAAGGUGUCAGAUCCCCUGGAACUGGAAUUACAGAUAGUUAUGAGCUGCCAUGCGGAACCUACACCCUUUCAUAUUAGGACCAAGAAACACCCCUAGUCCUGACAGAACAAGUUAAAACAAGUUUGAAGCCACACUGGUGAAUACUGAACUAAGCUGAGAUUUUGAAAACUAGUUGAAAAGCAGGUGAGUUAAUUACACUCCUAAGUCAAGCCUGAGUGGCAUAACUCAUAGACUCCAGACCCCUCAAGGAGCUGAGGGAUGAUCAGGAGUUCUGUUUGGAGUAUUUGGUUUUAUUUGAGACAUGGUCUCACUACAUAGACCUGGCUGGCCUUGAAUUUGUGGCAGUCCUUCUGCCUCUGUCCCGGGAGUACUAGGAUUUACAGGCAUGAGCCACUACACCUUGCUUACCUUGCUUGCUCUGGUUAAAUCCCAGCCAUAUUAGUGUACGCACAGUGGUAUCUCAUUAAGGAUUUGAUUUGUGUUUCCUUCAUGACUGGUUCUUGUUGGGUGUGUGUGUGUGUGUGUGUGUGUGUGUGUGUGUGUGUUUGGGUGUGUGUGUGUGUGUGUGUGUGUGUGUGUGUGUUGCCUAGUUAGGACCUUCGUCCAGUCUUACAUUUGUGUUUUUGAUCUUGAAUAGUAAGAAUUAUUCAUGUUUUCUGUAUAGUAAGUCCUUAUCCGAUGGAUAUAUGGCUGACAAAAUAUUUCCUCAUCAUGUAGGUUGUCUUUGAUCCACAGAACCUAUAUAAAUAUGGAAGAAGAGAUCUGACUCCAUAGUGAUGUUCUUUGACAUCCCUACAUAUGCACUAUGGCGCAUAUACCCACACACAUUAUAUACACAUACACACAUACCCAUUUAAAAAGGCUUUAUGUUUGAUCAAUUCAAGUUUAUCUUUUUUUCUUUCACUACUUUUGUCUCCAAAUAUGUAGGAUUACAAGUAAUAUACCACAUCUAGUUUGCUUGUUUGACAUGGAAUAUCAUUAUAUGCCCACAUUAGAUUUAUUAUUAUUAUCAUUAUCAUCAUCAUUUUUCUCCA
rnacentral:sRNA from 1 species